CCUACGGGUGGCAGCAGUGGGGGAUAUUGGACAAUGGGGGAAACCCUGAACCAGCGACGCCGCGUGAGUGAAGAAGGAUUUCGGUAUGUAAAGCUCUAUCAGCAGGGGAGAAAGAAAUGACGGUACUUGAGUAAGAAGCCUCGGCUAACGACGUGCCUGCAGCCGCGGGAAUACGUCGGGGGCAAGCGUUAUCCGGAAUUACUGGGUGUAAAGGGAGCGUAGACGGUAAUGCAAGUCUGGAGUGAAAGGCGGGGGCCCACCCCCCGGACUGCUCUGGAAACUGUGUAACUUGAGUGCAGGAGAGGCAGGCGGAAUUCGUGGUGUAGCGGUGAAAUGCGUAGAUAUUAGGAAGAACACCAGUGGCGAAGGCGGCCUGCUGGACUGUAACUGACGUUGAGGCUCGAAAGCGUGGGGAGCAAACAGGAUUAGAUACCCGUGUAGUC
rnacentral:rRNA from 1 species